rnacentral:rRNA from 1 species
GACGAACGCUGGCGGCGUGCUUAACACAUGCAAGUCGAACGAGACGAUUGAAAGCUUGCUUUUGAAAGUCGAGUGGCAAACGGGUGAGUAACGCGUAAGCAACCUGCCUUUGAGAUGGGACAACAGUUCGAAAGGACUGCUAAUACCGAAUGUUGUAUAUUUUCCACAUGGAAGAUAUAUUAAAGAUGGCCUCUAUUUAUAAGCUAUCGCUCAAAGAUGGGUCUGCGUCUGAUUAGCUGGUUGGUGGGGUAACGGCCUACCAAGGCGACGAUAAGUAGCCGGUCUGAGAGGAUGAACGGCCACAUUGGGACUGAGACACGGCCCAGACUCCUACGGGAGGCAGCAGUGGGGAAUCUUCCACAAUGGACGAAAGUCUGAUGGAGCAGCGCCGCGUGAGUGAAGAAGGGUUUCGGCUCGUAAAGCUCUGUUGUCGGGGACGAAUGUGCAGUAUUUGAAUAAAGUACUGCAAUGACGGUACCUGACGAGGAAGCCACGGCUAACUACGUGCCAGCCGCCGCCGUAA